rnacentral:RNase_P_RNA from 1 species
GAAGUAGACUGGGCAGUCGCUGUUCCGGCCUCGGCUGGAAGAGAGGAAAGUCCGGGCUCCACAGGGCAGGGUACUCCGUAACGCGGAGUGGGGGCGACCCUAAGGAAAGUGCCACAGAAAAGACACAGCCUACCCGAAGCGGGUUUCCUGCUUUGGCGGCAAAGGUGAAAAGGUGGGGUAAGAGCCCACCAGUACCGUCGGCGACGAUGGUAGCUUGGUAAACCCUACCCGGAGCAAGAUCAAAUAGGAAAGUGCUUGAGGGCGGCCCGCCCGAUGCUUUCGGGUUGAUUGCUUGAGCCUGUCGGCAACGUCAGGCCUAGAUUGAUGACUGCCGCCUCCUCGGAGGGACAGAACCCGGCUUACAGGUCUACUUCGGCC